GCAGCCCAGGGGAAUCGGCUGUCCCCGGGGCCAGAGAGUGUGGGCUGGAGUAGCCCCGGGCGUGGACCCCAUGGGAGCUCUUGAGCCCCUCCUUCGAAUGGCAUCGUGACGCCCACUUCCCGGAUGAGGGUCGCCGGGAGGGAAUCGAUCUGUCUCCACCCACCCUGCUCUGAAAAUCCUCCAUGCUCCCGAGCGCAUCUGCUCAGCAGUGUGCACCUGUGUGUCAAGCGCCCAUGUGACCGGAGACUGAGCUCCUGGUGGGCAAGCAUACGUGUCGCACGCACACACACACACACACACACACGCGGCUGUCACGCAGAUCGCCUCAGUGUUAAGUCAGCAGUAUUGACUUCGGGUCAUCUACAGGGGCUUUAACACGCCAUACUGUCACACAUGGGCACAAGAUUUAUGCGGAGUAGUAAGGCCAAAAGUGCCGACUUAGGGACGGUGCUAGUGGACUGCCUCCCCCCCUGCCCAGAGAACUGGAGCUUGGCCCACGUGCGCCGUCCUGCUCCCCAGCCCUCCAGGACUGCCCAAUCAGGCGGAGUGGAGACGCGGACGAAGAGAAGGGGCAGGGGGCUUGGGGAAGGGAGUGAGCACCAGCCACACAGCAGCUACCAGGCCCCAGGGCAGAGGGAGAGGGACGCGGCGGGAUUCUCAGAGGCACGGAGGUAAACUCUGUCACCUUUCUGGUAUGUGACACACACAGGAAAAGGACUUACAUGGCUCGGAAUCGCCACGGAUGCCGGCCCCGACAGCACUCUGGGACCGGGCAGUGCGAGUCACGGCUUUGCCAGGGUUGCGCGCCUACGUGCAGCCGACUGUGCCGAUGCGUGUUUUGUGCGUGUGUUAUCCGAACCAAAUCCACAGCGCAAGAGCACAGGUUCUGAAUCAUCCCAAUUCACGUUCAAGCUCCGGCGUGUUGACCUCAGCAGGCGACUUCGUGGUCAGCUCCUUUCGUACGGGGAGCAUUGUAUCCAGGGCUCAGCUGGGUUGGAAUGGCUGCUCUCUUCCCCAGAGUCCAUUCCUGCCUUCUGCUUAUCCACACACCCUCAUUUUGUGCAGUAUGUCCCGUGCCCAGGUAAAGAUUCACGCUUUGGGGGCAGUGGGUAAGCCGCCUCUUGCGCUAUCAGCAUCCCAUACCUCUGACCCAGCUCCCUGCUAACGCACCUGGGAAAGCAGCGGAAGACGGCCAAGUGCCUGGGCCCCUGCCCGCCCGUGGGAGACAGAUGGAGUUCCAGGCUCCUAGUUUCAUCCUGGCAUAGCCCUGACUGUCAUGGCCAUUUUUGGAGUGAACCAGUGGGUGAAAGAUCUAUGUCUCUCUCUGUCACUCUGCCUUUCAAAUAAUUAAAAAUAUCGUUUUUUUCUAAAAAUGAACAUCACAGUCUUUUUCUUAAAAAAGGAUUUAUUUAUUUAUUUGAAAGACAGAGUUAUAGAGAGGUAGAGGCAGGGGGGGGAGAGAGAGAGAGAGAGAGAGAGAGAGAGUCUUCCAUCUGCUGGUUCACUCCCCUAAUGACUACAAGGGCAGAGCUGGGCCAGGCCGGAGCCAGGAGCCAGGAGCUCCUUCUGGGUCUCCCACACGGGUGCAGGGAGCCAUCGUCUGUUGCCUUCCCAGCACACUGGCAGGGAGCUGGAUGGGAACUGGAGCAGCUGGAACUUGAACUGGCACCCAUGUGGGAUGCCGGCCCUGCAGGCAGCAGUUUUACACAAUACACCACAGUGCAGCCUGGCGCGGACACGGGGCUGUCGCCUUGUGAGCCUCAGGCCACCAGUCUGCGGGCAGAGGGGAAAGGCCUGGAGCCCAGCUCUGCAAAGUUUCCUAGAAGAGGAGGUGGUCUCGUCUCGCUGCUCCGUUACUGCGGCCGCACGCACGCUGCCCUGCGGUCCUGCGGAAGAGUACGUGGAGUAAACACGGCGUGCGCAGAAACUCGCUCCAUCGCUGCUGUCACGUGCGGCUGCCAAAGACGCCGUGUCCACGGGUGGUCCCCUCGGGUGGAGCCGCCGAGCGGUGUCAUGGCUCCAUCGCUGCUGUCACGUGCGGCUGCCAAAGACGCCGUGUCCACGGGUGGUCCCCUCGGGUGGAGCCGCCGAGCGGUGUCAUGGCUCCAUCGCUGCUGUCACGUGCGGCUGUCAAAGACGCCGUGUCCACUGUGGUCCCCUCGGAUGGAGCCGCCUAGAGGUGUCAUCGCUCCAUCCCUGCUGUCACGUGCGGCUGUCAAAGACGCCAUGUCCACGGGUGGUCCCCUCGGAUGGAGCCGCCGAGCGGUGUCAUCGCCGUCAGUUUGUGUCAGUGCACUGUGCGUUCACCCAGCAGCAUUGCCCACCGACACGCCCCUCAGAGGGUGUCCCCUCACUUGUGUUUGCUCAGGAAUUCAUCCAAGCAGGACUUGCUUUCCCCUCCUUUAACUAGCCUCCAGCGCUCGGCACAGAUCCCUGCCUACAGGAGGGCCGCAGCUGUUAUCCCCGGCACAUUGGAUCCGGAUGCCGCGUAGGAUGGCCUGCCUGUCUUUGAGAGCCGAGAGGUAGAAACCUGCCCUCUGCUCACAAAUUAGGUGGCAGCUCCAGUGAGGCACCAGCCGUCAGCUUCGUGUCGGGGCAGCGGGCACAAGGGCGCUGACGGAGCUUCUUCCACCCGCACUUCCGGUGCCACUGCUGGGUCUUCCGGUGCCACUGUCGGGUUUUCCAGUGCCACUGUCGGUCUUGCUGGGUUUGAUCCACGGGCAGGAGAAUGUGCAGGCUGAGGUGGAGCCAGGCUGCCCGGCGCCCUCAGAGCCAGGGCCCUGCUGGCCCCAGUCCCCGCCCCGACGGUGGGGCAAAGGUGAGCGGGGAAGCUGUCUUCCUGGAAUGCUGACUUUGGACAAUUCCUGGAAGUCUCACGUGUCCUGCUGUCGGCGCUGGGUCCGAGAUUCCUCUCAAGCCGGGUUGUGCCUCAUUCAUCCCUGACUUCCCGUGAGGUCACCUCUUCAUUCACCCACAGUACACGGGGAAUGCACCUGCUCCUCCCAACGCUGAAACAUGGAACAUCAUAACUUAGCAACACAGCAUCCUGAGAGGGAUGGUGGCCGCGACGCUGGCUGCCCGCCCUGCCCAGCACCCGGGCAUGGAUCGUGCCGGAUUCCACACCCGGGGAAGAGCAAAGCUUCGAACAGGAAGUACAGUUUCCACUGGACCCACAGCUCUUUGGUCCCACUCUGAAGUCCAAAAAGUCCUGAGUCCAGACAUCGUGAAUCAGGGACCGUGUGAGCAGCACCUCUUAGGCUGUGGUCCGGGGACGGCCUGUUGAUGGAAGUCGGGCUGGAGUGCGGCUGCCCUUGGCAGUCUCGGUUUUUCUGUCACAGAGGAGAUAGCCGGGACACCCACCCCUCAGAAUCGAGGCGAGGGCUGAACGAGACGGCGGAGGGGGGGCAAUCAGCCCAGCAGCCGGAAGUAGCGGGUGCUCUGUGAGCCUGGGAGGUCGUUUCUCCCCGCGCUCAGCUUGAGCCCAGACCACCCCUUCCCCAACAGCCGCUGCCUCCCUUCGCAGCCCUGGCCUCCCGCAGCCUCCAUCCCUCCGCUCCACGCCUGCCCUUGGAUCUGAACACAGGGGCGUGAUUUUGUGCUUACAA